rnacentral:rRNA from 1 species
AACGAACGCUGGCGGCAUGCCUAACACAUGCAAGUCGAACGAGACCUUCGGGUCUAGUGGCGCACGGGUGCGUAACGCGUGGGAACCUGCCUUUAGGUUCGGAAUAACUCAGAGAAAUUUGAGCUAAUACCGGAUGAUGUCUUCGGACCAAAGAUUUAUCGCCUUUAGAUGGGCCCGCGUUGGAUUAGCUAGUUGGUGGGGUAAAGGCCUACCAAGGCGACGAUCCAUAGCUGGUCUGAGAGGAUGAUCAGCCACACUGGGACUGAGACACGGCCCAGACUCCUACGGGAGGCAGCAGUGGGGAAUAUUGGACAAUGGGCGGAAGCCUGAUCCAGCAAUGCCGCGUGAGUGAUGAAGGCCUUAGGGUUGUAAAGCUCUUUUACCCGAGAUGAUAAUGACAGUAUCGGGAGAAUAAGCUCCGGCUAACUCCGUG